AGAGUUUGAUCCUGGCUCAGGAUGAACGCUGGCGGCGUGCUUAACACAUGCAAGUCGAACGAACCUUCGGGUUAGUGGCGGACGGGUGAGUAACGCGUGAGAAUCUGCCCUCAGGAGGGGGAUAACGGCUGGAAACGGCCGCUAAUACCCCAUAUGCCGAGAGGUGAAAUGAAUUUCGCCUGAGGAUGAGCUCGCGUCUGAUUAGCUAGUUGGUAGGGUAAAGGCCUACCAAGGCUUCGAUCAGUAGCUGGUCUGAGAGGAUGAUCAGCCACACUGGGACUGAGACACGGCCCAGACUCCUACGGGAGGCAGCAGUGGGGAAUUUUCCGCAAUGGGCGAAAGCCUGACGGAGCAACGCCGCGUGAGGGAUGAAGGCCUCUGGGCUGUAAACCUCUUUUAUCAAGGAAGAAGAUCUGACGGUACUUGAUGAAUAAGCCACGGCUAAUUCCGUGCCAGCAGCCGCGGUAAUACGGGAGUGGCAAGCGUUAUCCGGAAUUAUUGGGCGUAAAGCGUCCGCAGGCGGUUUUACAAGUCUGUCGUUAAAGCGUGGAGCUUAACUCCAUUUCAGCGAUGGAAACUGUAAGACUAGAGUGUGGUAGGGGCAGAGGGAAUUCCCGGUGUAGCGGUGAAAUGCGUAGAUAUCGGGAAGAACACCAGUGGCGAAGGCGCUCUGCUGGGCCAUAACUGACGCUCAUGGACGAAAGCCAGGGGAGCGAAAGGGAUUAGAUACCCCUGUAGUCCUGGCCGUAAACGAUGAACACUAGGUGUCGGGGGAAUCGACCCCCUCGGUGUCGUAGCCAACGCGUUAAGUGUUCCGCCUGGGGAGUACGCACGCAAGUGUGAAACUCAAAGGAAUUGACGGGGGCCCGCACAAGCGGUGGAGUAUGUGGUUUAAUUCGAUGCAACGCGAAGAACCUUACCAGGGUUUGACAUCCUGCGAAUCCCUUGGAAACGAGGGAGUGCCUUCGGGAACGCAGUGACAGGUGGUGCAUGGCUGUCGUCAGCUCGUGUCGUGAGAUGUUGGGUUAAGUCCCGCAACGAGCGCAACCCACGUCUUUAGUUGCCAGCAUUUAGUUGGGCACUCUAGAGAGACUGCCGGUGAUAAACCGGAGGAAGGUGUGGAUGACGUCAAGUCAUCAUGCCCCUUACAUCCUGGGCUACACACGUACUACAAUGCUACGGACAAAGGGCAGCAAACUCGCGAGAGCUAGCAAAUCCCAUAAACCGUGGCUCAGUUCAGAUCGUAGGCUGCAACUCGCCUACGUGAAGGAGGAAUCGCUAGUAAUCGCAGGUCAGCAUACUGCGGUGAAUACGUUCCCGGGCCUUGUACACACCGCCCGUCACACCAUGGAAGUUGGCCAAGCCCGAAGUCAUUACCGUAAC
rnacentral:rRNA from 1 species